CAGCCGCCGCGGGAAUACGUAGGUGGCAAGCGUUGUCCGGAAUUAUUGGGCGUAAAGCGCGCGCAGGCGGAUAGGUCAGUCUGUCUUAAAAGUUCGGGGCUUAACCCCGUGAUGGGAUGGAAACUGCCAAUCUAGAGUAUCGGAGAGGAAAGUGGAAUUCCUAGUGUAGCGGUGAAAUGCGUAGAUAUUAGGAAGAACACCAGUGGCGAAGGCGACUUUCUGGACGAAAACUGACGCUGAGGCGCGAAAGCCAGGGGAGCGAACGGGAUUAGAUACCCGUGUAGUCCCUGUCUCUUAUACC
rnacentral:rRNA from 1 species